rnacentral:misc_RNA from 1 species
GUAUUAAUUGCGUGUGAUCGCAAAAGAAAAACAUUCUACACUGUAUCGAGUUUGUGUGAAAACGUGAGCCCUCCUGCAAAGGGGGGACCCGCGCGGUGAUGCACAAAGGGGUGAGAUGGAUUUUGUGCGAGAGCGCUCGGGCGUGCACGACCUUUGAAGGUCAGCGACAGCCCUCGCACCUCGGUUGUACGAUAAUGAUCCUUCCGCAGGUUCACCUACGGAAA